rnacentral:rRNA from 1 species
UAUUUAGGUAGUGCCUCGAGUAUGAGACUGAUGGGGGUAAAGCACUGUUAUGGCUAGGGGGUUAUUGCAACUUACCAACCCAUGGCAAACUAAGAAUACCAUCAAGUUGCUCCUCGGGAGACAGACAUCGGGUGCUAACGUCCGGUGUCAAGAGGGAAACAACCCAGACCGCCAGCUAAGGUCCCAAAUGAUAGAUUAAGUGGUAAACGAAGUGGGAAGGCACAGACAGCCAGGAUGUUGGCUUAGAAGCAGCCAUCAUUUAAAGAAAGCGUAAUAGCUCACUGGUCGAGUUUUCCUGCGCGGAAGAUGUAACGGGGCUCAAAUCUAUAACCGAAGCUGCGGAUAUACUUUUGUAUAUGGUAGGGGAGCGUUCUGUAAGCCUGUGAAGGUGACUUGUAAAGGUUGCUGGAGGUAUCAGAAGUGCGAAUGUUGACAUGAGUAGCGAUAAAGCGGGUGAAAAGCCCGCUCGCCGAAAGCCCAAGGUUUCCUACGCAACGUUCAUCGGCGUAGGGUGAGUCGGUCCCUAAGGCGAGGCAGAAAUGCGUAGUCGAUGGGAAACAGGUUAAUAUUCCUGUACUUUGAUUCAAUGCGAUGUGGGGACGGAGAAGGUUAGGUUAGCAAACUGUUGGAAUAGUUUGUUUAAGCCAGUAGGUGGAAAGAGUAGGCAAAUCCGCUCUUUCUUAACACCGAGACGUGAUGACGAGUGUCUACGGACAUGAAGUGACCAAUACCACGCUUCCAGGAAAAGCCACUAAGCUUCAGUUGAAUCAGAACCGUACCGCAAACCGACACAGGUGGGCAGGAUGAGAAUUCUAAGGCGCUUGAGAGAACUCGGGAGAAGGAACUCGGCAAAUUGAUACCGUAACUUCGGGAGAAGGUAUGCCCUCUAAUGUUAAGGACUUGCUCCGUAAGCAUCUGAGGGUCGCAGAGAAUCGGUGGCUGCGACUGUUUAUUAAAAACACAGCACUCUGCUAACACGAAAGUGGACGUAUAGGGUGUGACGCCUGCCCGGUGCUGGAAGGUUAAUUGAAGAUGUGCAAGCAUCGGAUCGAAGCCCCAGUAAACGGCGGCCGUAACUAUAACGGUCCUAAGGUAGCGAAAUUCCUUGUCGGGUAAGUUCCGACCCGCACGAAUGGCGUAACGAUGGCCACACUGUCUCCUCCCGAGACUCAGCGAAGUUGAAAUGGUUGUGAAGAUGCAAUCUCCCCGCUGCUAGACGGAAAGACCCCGUGAACCUUUACUGUAGCUUUGCAUUGGACUUUGAAGUCACUUGUGUAGGAUAGGUGGGAGGCUUUGAAGCAGAGACGCCAGUCUCUGUGGAGCCGUCCUUGAAAUACCACCCUGGUGACUUUGAGGUUCUAACCCAGACCCGUUAUCCGGGUCGGGGACCGUGCAUGGUAGGCAGUUUGACUGGGGCGGUCUCCUCCCAAAGAGUAACGGAGGAGUUCGAAGGUUACCUAGGUCCGGUCGGAAAUCGGACUGAUAGUGCAAUGGCAAAAGGUAGCUUAACUGCGAGACCGACAAGUCGAGCAGGUGCGAAAGCAGGACAUAGUGAUCCGGUGGUUCUGAAUGGAAGGGCCAUCGCUCAACGGAUAAAAGGUACUCCGGGGAUAACAGGCUGAUUCCGCCCAAGAGUCCAUAUCGACGGCGGAGUUUGGCACCUCGAUGUCGGCUCAUCACAUCCUGGGGCUGUAGUCGGUCCCAAGGGUAUGGCUGUUCGCCAUUUAAAGUGGUACGUGAGCUGGGUUUAAAACGUCGUGAGACAGUUUGGUCCCUAUCUGCAGUGGGCGUUGGAAGUUUGAAGGGGGCUGCUCCUAGUACGAGAGGACCGGAGUGGACGAACCUCUGGUGUACCGGUUGUUUCGCCAGAAGCAUAGCCGGGUAGCUAAGUUCGGAAGAGAUAAGCGCUGAAAGCAUCUAAGCGCGAAACUCGCCCAAAGAUGAGACUUCCCUUGUGGUUUAACCAUACUAAAGAGUCGUUCGAGACCAGGACGUUGAUAGGUUGGGUGUGGAAGGGUGGUAACACUUGAAGCUAACCAAUACUAAUUGCUCGUGAGGCUUGACUCU